CUUUGGUCGGCUCCUCUCAAAUGGAUCAGCUUGCCAGUGUUUGGUGGCGUCAUGGGUGUGAUAAAUAUCUACGCUUGUGGCCGUCUGCCAGGUAACCUUCAGCGAUGGAGGUUCGCUGGAGCUCACAAAGGUCUUCCUCAGCGAAGACAGCUUUUUGAACGUUCGAUCUCAAAUCAGGUAGGACUACCCGCUGAACUUAA
rnacentral:misc_RNA from 1 species